CUUUCAUUUUCAGUCUUCUUUGCCUCAGUGUCAAUUGGCUCCUCUUAGUCACAGCUGUACAAAUCACAGGGCUUUUUUUUUUCAUUGGCAUCAGGCAUAUAUAUUAUUCAUUUAUUUGGUUUCAUCUGAAAUGAAUCCAAUAAAGAAGCACUUUUAUUUUUCCAAUGAAAUAUUUAAAGCUGCUUUUUCCCCACAAGAGACUAGGCAGAAAACUCCAUCCAUGAUCUACGAGAGUUCACCAUCUUCUACUCUGUAAACCAGUUAUAGAAGAUAUGGAAUAGCAGUGAGAAAUGUUCACCCUUUGUCCCCAAGUUCUACCCAACACUCCCAUGACUGAAGAAAUAAGCCCAUAAAUAGUGACCAUCAACUACAACUCAAGACAUCAAGCCAGAAAAGGAACAUGUGAGAUAAUGCUCCCAACAUGAAAAUAAAAGUCACAUUAUGAAAGAGACAGGCAUAGCUUAACAGGCAAAACAAAUUUUCUCAGCAUCCCACAAGCAGGUGAGGAGCCAAUGCUCUCUCAGCACGCAUGAGCAUAGUUCCUUAGAGUCAGAAGCAGAGCAUGGGAGCUCUGUCUGCAGACAAGUGGAGACAGCACAGUCGGGUGAGAGCGGGGAUGUGAGGCAGUGAUGAAAGGGGGAUGCUUCUCUGCUGAAUUUUUAGGGAAAGACACGGCCACUCACACAGGAUUUAACCCCUUUGGGUGGAAGCUUCAGAGACACAUAUAGACAACUGUUUAUUUCUUUCAUUAUCCAUCCACUAGCUGCUCUAUAUGGUUUGAACUUUUCUUUUAUCACAAUUCUUGGGUUUGUUUCAAGUGCUGGUAAUGCACCUCAUAAAACACAUUCACAUACCAAGCAAGUACAAAUUUCAACAUCUCUAAUUGUUUUUUAAAAUUUCAUUGCUUUUGACUCAAGGAAGUUGUAGUUCGUGAUGAUUCCGUUUUGAAUUAUAUCAAAGAGUAGUACUAAACUCACAGCUAGGCACCUUGAGUGAGAAAAGGGGAGGUUUUUCUGGGACUUCACACUUUAACAGUGCUGAGGAGGGGGGCCUCACACUAUCUGUGGAAAGGGAUCUCAACUCAGACACACGCAGCACCCGGGAGCACACCUGAACAGCAUGCCCACCUUCUGAGGUUAAACUCUCACAGAUGCUGGUACCAACGCCUUCAUGUUUAUCUGGUGAUGUCAAACACUGUCCCUGUC
rnacentral:lncRNA from 1 species